rnacentral:rRNA from 1 species
AUUGAACGCUGGCGGAAUGCUUUACACAUGCAAGUCGAACGGUAGAGGGGGCAACCCCUUGAGAGUGGCGAACGGGUGAGUAAUAUAUCGGAACGUGCCCAGUCGUGGGGAUAACGUAGCGAAAGUUACGCUAAUACCGCAUACGAUCUAUGGAUGAAAGCGGGGGAUCGCAAGACCUCGCGCGAUUGGAGCGGCCGAUAUCAGAUUAGGUAGUUGGUGAGGUAAAGGCUCACCAAGCCGACGAUCUGUAGCUGGUCUGACGAGGACGACCAGCCACACUGGGACUGAGACACGGCCCAGACUCCUACGGGAGGCAGCAGUGGGGAAUUUUGGACAAUGGGCGCAAGCCUGAUCCAGCCAUGCCGCGUGCAGGAUGACGGUCCUAUGGAUUGUAAACUGCUUUUGUACAGGAAGAAACCCUUUCACGUGUGGAAGAUUGACGGUACUGUAAGAAUAAGGAUCGGCUAACUCCGUGCCAGCAGCCG